UCAAAAACAUGUCUUUUUGGUUAUUUUUAAAAAGUUUAACCUGCCCACUGAAAUUUUAAAUGGCCGCAGUAUAUUAACUGUGCAAAGGUAGCAUAAUCAUUAGUCUUUUAAUUGAAGGCUAGUAUGAAUGGUUGGACGAAAUAUUAACUGUUUCAUAAAAAUUUGUAUUAAAAUUUUAUUUUUUAGUAAAAAAGCUAAAAUUUUAUUAAAAGACGAGAAGACCCUAUAAAUCUUUAUAUUUAAAUUAUUAGAAUUUUUAGGGUUAUUUAUAUUUUAAUAUUUAAUAGUAUUUUAUUGGGGUGAUAUUAAAAUUUAAUAAACUUUUAAUUUAAUAAUUCAUUAAUUUAUGAUUAGUUGAUCCGUAUUUAACGAUUAAAAAUUUAAGUUACUUUAGGGAUAACAGCGUUAUUUUUUUGGAGAGUUCUUAUCAAUAAAAAAGAUUGCGACCUCGAUGUUGGAUUAAGAGAUAAGGUUAGGUGUAGCCGCUUAAUUUUUAAGUCUGUUCGACUUUUGAAUUCUUACAUGAUCUGAGUUUAAACCGGUGUAAGCCAGGUUGGUUUCUAUCUUUAGUAAAUAAAAAUAUUUCAGUACGAAAGGACCUAAUAUUUAAUAAAUUAUUAUUUUUAUAAUGAAUAUUAAUAAUAU
rnacentral:rRNA from 1 species